CGGACGCCACGCUCCGAACCGAAUCGAUGGAGAGAGGGAUCGGGGGAGAGGGGGGGAGGGGAGCGGAGGGGCUUACCGGAGGCGGCGGCGGGAGGGGCGUAGGGUUUUGGCUGCGGCGGCGGCGGCGGCGGCGAGAUCGAGAGGGGCGGGGAGGGAUUUGGAGGGUGGGGCGAGUUAGGGUUUGGUUGACGCGGGUGGGGGGAGGGGCGAGGGGGGGAGACGAGGGGCGAGCGAGGGAAUGACAGAGGAAGGGAAG
rnacentral:lncRNA from 1 species